rnacentral:rRNA from 1 species
GACGAACGCUGGCGGCGUGCUUAACACAUGCAAGUCGAACGGAAAGGCCCUGCUUUUGUGGGGUGCUCGAGUGGCGAACGGGUGAGUAACACGUGAGUAACCUGCCCUUGACUUUGGGAUAACUUCAGGAAACUGGGGCUAAUACCGGAUAGGAGCUCCUGCUGCAUGGUGGGGGUUGGAAAGUUUCGGCGGUUGGGGAUGGACUCGCGGCUUAUCAGCUUGUUGGUGGGGUAGUGGCUUACCAAGGCUUUGACGGGUAGCCGGCCUGAGAGGGUGAUCGGCCACAUUGGGACUGAGAUACAGCCCAGACUCCUACGGGAGGCAGCAGUGGGGAAUAUUGCACAAUGGGCGGAAGCCUGAUGCAGCAACGCCGCGUGCGGGAUGACGGCCUUCGGGUUGUAAACCGCUUUCGCCUGUGACGAAGCGUGAGUGACGGUAAUGGGUAAAGAAGCACCGGCUAACUACGUG